UAUCCGUCACCAAUUCCGUCACCAUGAUGAUUUAAAUUUAUUUCCUAGGGUACAAAACUCUGAUAGCAUCGCCUCUCUUCUACAAUAGAAAAACUCACAGAGGAAGCCAGCAAAAUUGUCGUUUGAGGGGAAAGAGAGUUCAAGGGCACAAACCUAAUCUAGAUAUACAGUAAAAAAUGGCGUAUUCAACACAAAAUCUUAAUAUUUUCGGCGACCGCCAGUCCGUUAGGAUGUUCACCCAAAAUGAAACUCUUAAGGCUUUUGGAGAUGUUGAGGUUUUGAAUGAUCGCCUUUCAUACCUGGAUCUUGGGUCCAUUCAAGGACAAAGCUCAAGAAUUGUUAGAGCAACAAUGGUCACAACAAUUAUAGUAGUAUGAGAUGGAUGUUACAACUCGGAUGUAUUACGAGACAGUGGUAGGAAUGAUGAAGAGAAAAGCUUAUGGCCUUGGGUCAAGGGAAACACGAUUAUGGCCUCGGGUUCUACUUUUGAUCUUGAUGAACAUCACUCUCAAGCACUACAUUAGUUAGUUGUGGCUUUUAGACUCUAUUCUAUUAGUUGAAGAACAAUUAUGAACAUUGAUUCCUAUACUACCUGAUCACAUGCUUCCUGUAAUUAUACUUUUUGGAUUCUGCUAUCCGUUUUGAACCUUCUAUAAAUAUUAUUUG